AUGAUCCAGACGGCUCAUAAAAGGAAGUUGCCCGUGGUGGCCUUAAAGUUGGAUUUUCAAAAAGCUUUUGACUCCGUCAGUUGGCCUUGCCUUCUCAACAUUUUGUCUGCCAGAGGCUUCCCUCAGCGUUGGAUCAGUUGGGUCCAAUGCUUGGUAUCCACGGCAACCUCUCGCAUCCUUUUGAAUGGGGAACUGGGUGACCCUUUUGCUAAUAAGCGAGGCUUCAGACAGGGCGAUUCCAUAUCGCCAUACUUAUUCAUCUUAGUGGCCGAUGUUCUGCAACGUCACUGUUGCUCUGCUUUUGAAGAUGGCAGUUUGAUUCACCCCCUCGGUUCGGAUAGAUUUUCCCAGUUCCGCAAUACGCCGAUGACACCUUAA
rnacentral:rRNA from 1 species